CACCGACGGUGCACAGCACGGGUAACCGUGUGUCGCAAAACUACCAUCCCGAAGAGGGAUAGAGGGGUUGUCGAAG
rfam:Pelobacter propionicus DSM 2379, complete genome.